rnacentral:rRNA from 1 species
AUUGAACGCUGGCGGCAGGCCUAACACAUGCAAGUCGAGCGGAUGAAGGGAGCUUGCUCCUGGAUUCAGCGGCGGACGGGUGAGUAAUCCCUAGGAAUCUGCCUGGUAGUGGGGGAUAACGUCCGGAAACGGGCGCUAAUACCGCAUACGUCCUGAGGGAGAAAGUGGGGGAUCUUCGGACCUCACGCUAUCAGAUGAGCCUAGGUCGGAUUAGCUAGUUGGUGGGGUAAAGGCCUACCAAGGCGACGAUCCGUAACUGGUCUGAGAGGAUGAUCAGUCACACUGGAACUGAGACACGGUCCAGACUCCUACGGGAGGCAGCAGUGGGGAAUAUUGGACAAUGGGCGAAAGCCUGAUCCAGCCAUGCCGCGUGUGUGAAGAAGGUCUUCGGAUUGUAAAGCACUUUAAGUUGGGAGGAAGGGCAGUAAGUUAAUACCUUGCUGUUUUGACGUUACCAACAGAAUAAGCACCGGCUAACUUCGU